ACGCUCGACACCUACGUGAGGCAGCAGUUGGGAAUAUUGGACAAUGGAGGAAACUCUGAUCCAGUGACGCCGCGUGAAGGAAGAAGGUCUUCGGAUUGUAAACUUAUUUUGUCAGGGAAGAAAAAUGACUGUACCUGAAGAAAAAGCACCGGCUAACUACGUGCCAGCAGCCGACGGUAAUCUGAGGCGGGCGUGGCGAAGGC
rnacentral:rRNA from 1 species